GACGAACGCUGGCGGCGUGCCUAAUACAUGCAAGUUGAGCGCUGAAGGUUGGUACUUGUACCAACUUGAUGAGCAGCGAACGGGUGAGUAACGCGUGGGGAAUCUGCCUUUGAGCGGGGGACAACAUUUGGAAACGAAUGCUAAUACCGCAUAAAAACUUUAAACACAAGUUUUAAGUUUGAAAGAUGCAAUUGCAUCACUCAAAGAUGAUCCCGCGUUGUAUUAGCUAGUUGGUGAGGUAAAGGCUCACCAAGGCGAUGAUACAUAGCCGACCUGAGAGGGUGAUCGGCCACAUUGGGACUGAGACACGGCCCAAACUCCUACGGGAGGCAGCAGUAGGGAAUCUUCGGCAAUGGACGAAAGUCUGACCGAGCAACGCCGCGUGAGUGAAGAAGGUUUUCGGAUCGUAAAACUCUGUUGGUAGAGAAGAACGUUGGUGAGAGUGGAAAGCUCAUCAAGUGACGGUAACUACCCAGAAAGGGACGGCUAACUACGUG
rnacentral:rRNA from 1 species